CCCGGCAGCGCCUCCUUUGUGCCUAAACCAGGGCUGAGGUGCGGGGCUGAGCCCCCCCCGGACAAGGGCUUCACGCCAGGGCAGCGCGGGUGGGAGCGGGAUGGGGAUGCGCCACGGCACCGGCCCCACAGCGCAGGGGUUCGGGGCCAAAAGGCGCUCGGGGGCUCGGUGAGGUCCCGGUGGGGCCGGAACAGGAGCAGACGUGCUGCCGGGGAGCGUGGGCUCCUGCUUACGGCCUCUCCAUCCUGUCUGGGCUGAGGGCAGCAGGUCACCCACACUCCCCUCUGGGCUCCCUUCCCAGCUCGCAGCCCGGCCGGCAGUGUGCUCAGGGCAGCGGAGGAUGCAGUGCUACGAGCAGGGUCACAGCACGGGGCUCUGGGGGAAGCAAGCUGCUCCGUGUCUCCAUGUCCGAGGCUUGAGAGCCUUGUGGAGCACAGCCCCCUGAGCCAAAGGCAUGGAUGGCACAGGGGGAUGCAGCCCAGCCCCACGGCUCCCCCGUUUUCCCCAGGUGGUGUUCAUAAUCCCCAGCCUCCCGCAGGUGUUUGUCUGCAAAGCCCUCUCUCCCUCUGGUUUGCAGGGCAAGAGCCCAUCAGUGUGCUCGGGCUCAUCCUGGGCCUUGGGCUGGCCCUGCUGAUCCUGGUCCUGUUUGGCUAUGCCUUUGUCCGGUGCUACCAGCAGGGCCGGUGCUGGCGCCGGCCUGACUUCGUCUUCAACCUCUACCACAGCUGCGGGCUGAGGUCGGUGGCAGUGGAGCUGACCCCACCAUUCAGCAUCAGCGGCUUGCUGAGCGAGGCGGGGGGCGGCUACGUGCGCUUCCAAGAGCAGGGGCUGUGAGGCUGGCAAGCAGGUAAGCAUGGCCCCACUCCCUGCAUGUGUCCCCAGCCACUUGUGUCCCCCCUGCAGCAUCGUGGCCCCCCGGCUGCCCUGCAGAGCCCGGGCGCAGUGUGCGCGGGGCCGUGCAGCCGUCGGUGUUUGGGUGCUGGGUGAGAAAUACUGCACCCCACUGCCUCCUUCCCCUCUUGUAGUCCCAGCUGUGGCUUUCCCUGGGAUAGUCCCAAGGUUUUUCCUCUAAAAGUCCUACCCAAGCCUGUGGGGCAUCAGGGGCUUUCCCUGGGCUCUGGUUUUAUUUCUCCCCUUGCAGGCUUUGGCCCAUGCCGCAGCGCUCUGCUGACCAUGCUGCGAGCUCCCCGUGCCAGGGGGUUCCGUGGCUGCCCCCUCCCACAGCUUUUGGGAUCAGCAGGGUGCCCACAGGGUGCGGCUGAUGCAGGCUGGGUGCUUUGUGCUUGUGUUGUGCCGUCCCUGGCUGGGGCAGCCCUGCAG
rnacentral:lncRNA from 1 species